UCAAUGAAUAUUUAUUAAUAACUGAUCAAUAAAUGUAACAUCAGUUUUCAUCUAAAGAUGUUGCAAAUGAUUUCAGAUAACUAAAGUAACUAAUGUUCAGGUAUUUUGCUUAUUUUAACCACACUGUCUCUUAAAAACUGUACUUUUAGAAGACUCAAAAUGAUUCACAGACAUAUGUGCAUAUUACAGUAUUUCUGAUUGGCUUAAAAGCCAGGAGCAAGGCCUCCUUACUGCUUUUCUUCUAAAGCAAGUUUACAGCUGUCACAUUGACAGGUGCGAUUUCUCAGGAUUCUGUCAGAAUGUGGCUCCAAAACACCUAUUUUAUUUAUCAAAAUGUAAUCAAUAUUCAGCAAUUGUUUUCAGAGGUGGUGUUGCUACUGCGAGUUAUGUUAGAAUGAGUUAAUCAUUAGUCUAAUCUAAUCAUAACAGAUCAUUUAUAAAAAAAAGUGUUAAAGGUACAGUAGCAAAAUGGCUUAAGUUGGUAAAAUAAUCACAUCAAAU